rnacentral:rRNA from 1 species
UACGUAGGGUGCAAGCGUUGUCCGGAAUUAUUGGGCGUAAAGAGCUCGUAGGCGGUUUGUCGCGUCUGCUGUGAAAUCCCGAGGCUCAACCUCGGGCCUGCAGUGGGUACGGGCAGACUAGAGUGCGGUAGGGGAGAUUGGAAUUCCUGGUGUAGCGGUGGAAUGCGCAGAUAUCAGGAGGAACACCGAUGGCGAAGGCAGAUCUCUGGGCCGUAACUGACGCUGAGGCGCGAAGGCCAGGGGAGCAAACGGG